GAUGAACGCUGGCGGCGUGCCUAACACAUGCAAGUCGAGCGAUUCUCUUCGGAGAAGAGCGGCGGACGGGUGAGUAACGCGUGGGUAACCUGCCCUGUACACACGGAUAACAUACCGAAAGGUAUGCUAAUACGGGAUAAUAUAUUUUAGUCGCAUGGCUGAGAUAUCAAAGCUCCGGCGGUACAGGAUGGACCCGCGUCUGAUUAGCUAGUUGGUGAGGUAACGGCUUACCAAGGCGACGAUCAGUAGCCGACCUGAGAGGGUGAUCGGCCACAUUGGAACUGAGACACGGUCCAAACUCCUACGGGAGGCUG
rnacentral:rRNA from 1 species